CGAUGCGAUUAUAUCAACUCACAUACAUUGAAUUCCAUCAGAACUCCAAAGUUAAGUGAGUUUGGGCGAGAAUAGUAUUAGGAUGGGUGACCUCCUGGAAAGUUCUCGUGUUGCAUCCCCCACCUCUUUUGGAUGCGAUCAUACCAACUCACAUGCACUAAAUCCCAUCAGAACUCAAAAGUUAAGCGAGUUUGGGCAAAAGUAGUACUAGGAUGAUGCGAUCAUAUCAACUCACAUGCAAUGAAUCCCAUCAGAACUGCGAAGUUAAGCGAGUUUGGGCAAAAGUAGUACUAGGAUGAUGCGAUCAUACCAACUCACAUGAAAUGAAUCCCAUCAGAACUGCGAAAUUAAGCGAGUUUGGGUGACAGUACUACUAGGAUGUGUGACCUCUUCAUAAGUCCUCGUGUUGCAUCCC
rnacentral:sRNA from 1 species